UACAGAGGUGGCAAGCGUUGCUCGGUAUCACUGGGCUUAAAGGGCGCGUAGGCGGUGCGGUACGGUUUCGGUGAAAUCCCUCGGCCCAACCGAGGAACAGCCGGGGCUACGGCCGCGCUAGACGGCAUCAGGGGACAGUGGAAUUUCCGGUGGAGCGGUGAAAUGCGUAGAGAUCGGAAAGAACACCAACGGCGAAAGCACUCUGCUGGGCCGACACUGACACUGAGAGACGAAAGCUAGGGGAGCGAAUGGG
rnacentral:rRNA from 1 species